rnacentral:misc_RNA from 1 species
GAUGAAGAACGCAGCGAAAUGCGAUAAGUAAUGUGAAUUGCAGAAUUCAGUGAAUCAUCGAAUCUUUGAACGCACAUUGCGCCCGCCAGUAUUCUGGCGGGCAUGCCUGUCCGAGCGUCAUUUCAACCCUCGCGCCCAUCUGGGCUGCGGUGUUGGGGACCGGCCUGCCCCCCCGGGGCGCGCCGCCCCCCAAAUUCAGUGGCGGUCUCGCUGCAGCCUCCCUUGCGUAGUAGCACACCUCGCACCGGAGCGCAGCGCGGCCACGCCGUAAAACCCCCGACCCCCAUGAGUUUGACCUCGGAUCAGGUAGGAAUACCCGCUGAACUUAAGCAUAUCAAUAAGCGGAUGA